CCUCCCGGAGUCACCAAAUCCGGAUGGAAUUGAUUAAAAACCACAACUCCCCGCCCGGCCCGUGUCGCGACAGGGCAAGGACCACGACAGAGGAGGUUUUUCCCAGCUGGAUCCGCCUCGAGGUUUGAUCUGCCUCGAGGUUCUCCCCAGCUGGAUCCACCUCGAGGUUUUCCCCAGCUGGAUCUGCUGCGAGGUUCUCCCAGCUGGAUCCGCCUCGAGGUUUUCCCCAGCUGGAUCUGCCUCCAGGUUUGAUCUGCCUCGAGGUUUUCCCCAGCUGGAUCCACCUCGAGGUUCUCCCCAGCUGGAUCUGCCUCGAGGUUCUCCCAAGCUGGAUCUGCCUCGAGGUUCUCCCCAGCUGGAUCUGCCUCCAGGUUUGAUCCACCUCGAGGUUCUCCCCAGCUGGAUCCACCUCGAGGUUCUCCCCAGCUGGAUCCACCUCCAGGUUUGAUCUGCCUCGAGGUUCUCCCCAGCUGGAUCUGCCUCCAGGUUCUCCCCAGCUGGAUCUGCUGCGAGGUUCUCCCCAGCUGGAUCCACCUCGAGGUUCUCCCAGCUGGAUCCACCUCGAGGUUCUCCCCAGCUGGAUCCACCUCGAGGUUCUCCCCAGCUGGAUCUGCCUCGAGGUUCUCCCCAGCUGGAUCUGCCUCCAGGUUUGAUCCACCUCGAGGUUCUCCCCAGCUGGAUCCACCUCGAGGUUUUUCCCAGCUGGAUCCACCUCGUCUCCCCACAGCGCUCGAGGGGUUUUUUAUCCUCGAGAUUUGGGAUGGGGAGUGCAGGAACCCCUCGGGAAAUGCAGCAGCUCCUCGGGAAAUGCAGCAGCUCCUCGGGAAUGUGGCAGUUUUUGUUUUUUUUGUUUUCCCCCUCUCCAGAUGUGCUGCAGGUUUGUGGCACACCGAGAGCUCACUGGUUGAUGUUGUUGUUGUUGUUGGAGACGCAGGGAUCCACCUGGGAGCAGGAGGAGGGUGAGGAAUCCGGCCAGGUGAUCCCAGAUCCACCUGGCCCCUGCCCCGGAGCUGCCGUGCUCACCUCCGUGUAGGUGGGGGGAGGCAUGAACUUGAACUCGGGCGCGUACAUGAAGAUGGGGCUGUCAAAGCCGUCGGGAUCGUCCAGCAGGGGCGUGGUGGGGCUCUCCAGCCGGUGAUCCUCGGGAACGAUGUCCAGGUAGCACGGGGGAGCUGCGGGGAGGGAGGGAGGGAUGGCUGAGCUCAGCUGGGGGGUGGCUGAGGGGCUCCGAGCCCGGCCCAGCCUGAGCAUCCCAGCCCACUCACCCUCGGGAGCGUCGGGGAGGUUCAGGUCCACCCAGCUCAUCUCGGAACUGGUCUGACUGGCCAUGCUGGAGCUGCGGCUGCCGAUGCCAGAGCGGCUCCCGAUCACCAGGGGCAGCUCCAGGAUGAUUUUCUUGGAGCCUGGCACGCUGACGUAGAUCUGCAAAAACAACCGAGGAGGUUCAGGGGAGUGUGGGACAGAACCCCAAGACGAGGAGGAUCAGGAAGAUGAAGGCUCACCUGCAGGAAAUACUCCACCCUGAGGAUGUUGCAGCCCAGGAUGGAGGGUUUGAGCUUCUUCACACGGAUGGUUUUGCCACGCCAGGACUCGGAGGUGCCGGAGAUGAUGUGGUUGCCACGAACGCAGGAGAGUUUUUGGGAGAACACCUUGGUCUGCCCGUUGGCCAGGUAGGUGUGCUUGGCCACGAUGGCUGCCUUGGGCACCACGAUGCGGGAGCAGGUGUUCUCGAAGUCGGCGUUGAUGCAGAUCUCAUCACCUGCACAAAGGGAAAAAACAGCCGUGUUUAGGGGUGCUGGGGGUUCCUCACUGGUUCCCCCCACCCCAAUUCCCUGCUCCCAGCAAUCCUCACCUUCACAGAAGCCCUUCCUGUCGAUCUGGGCGCUGACAGACACGCGUCCAUCCGGGAUGAACAUGCACGACACUUUCUUCUCCUUUUUGGCUGCCACUGGAGACUGUGGGGAGAGGGAACGGUCAAACACUGGCCCCAUCCUGUCCUUCCCACCCUUCCUUCCUCCUUCUCUUCCUUCCCUUUUUGCAACCAAGCCUCAAAUUCCCCUGGAGUACACAACCCGCCCCACCCAGUGUCAGUUUCUGGAAUUAUCCACAACUCCUUAAUCCCACCCUUAAUCCCGCUCAGCCCAAAUCUGAUUAAAGACACCACCAGCUCA